GACGAACGCUGGCGGCGUGCUUAACACAUGCAAGUCGAGCGAGGCCCCUCCUUCGGGAGGGUGUCCUAGCGGCGAACGGGUGAGUAACACGUGGGCAAUCUGCCCCUAGCACUGGAAUAACCCCGGGAAACCGGGGCUAAUACCGGAUACGACCUAGCAGGGCAUCCUGCAUGGUGGAAAGAUUUAUCGGCUAGGGAUGAGCCCGCGGCCUAUCAGCUAGUUGGUGGGGUAACGGCCUACCAAGGCGACGACGGGUAGCCGGCCUGAGAGGGCGACCGGCCACACUGGAACUGAGACACGGUCCAGACACCUACGGGUGGCAGCAGUCGAGAAUUUUUCUCAAUGGGGGCAACCCUGAAGGAGCGACGCCGCGUGGAGGAUGAAGGCUUUCGGGUUGUAAACUCCUGUCAUUUGAGAACAAGGUGCAUCGGUUAACUGCCGAUGCAUUGAUAGUAUCAGAAGAGGAAGAGACGGCUAACUCUGUGCCAGCCGCCG
rnacentral:rRNA from 1 species